UACGGAGGGUGCAAGCGUUAUCCGGAUUUAUUGGGUUUAAAGGGUCCGUAGGCGGAUCUGUAAGUCAGUGGUGAAAUCUCACAGCUUAACUGUGAAACUGCCAUUGAUACUGCAGGUCUUGAGUGUUAUUGAAGUAGCUGGAAUAAGUAGUGUAGCGGAGAAAUGCAUAGAUAUUACUUAGAACACCAAUUGCGAAGGCAGGUUACUAAGCAACAACUGACGCUGAUGGACGAAAGCGUGGGGAGCGAAC
rnacentral:rRNA from 1 species